rnacentral:rRNA from 1 species
AAACAUGGGAUUACCUCCGGGAAAAACGGGGGCUAAUUCCGGGAUGCUUGAUUGUACCCGCAUGGUUUCAAUCAUUAAAGGGUGGCUUUUAGGUACCACCUACAGAUGGACCCCGCGGCGCAUUAGCUNGUGGGUGAGGUAACGGCUCACCAAGGGCGACGAUGCGUAGCCGACUUGAGAGGGUGAUCGGCCACACUGGGACUGAGACACGGCCCAGACUCCUACGGGAGGCAGCAGUAGGGAAUCUUCCGCAAUGGACGAAAGUCUGACGGAGCAACGCCGCGUGAGUGAUGAAGGUUUUCGGAUCGUAAAACUCUGUUGUUAGGGAAGAACAAGUACCGUUUGAAUAGGGCGGUACCUUGACGGUACCUAACCAGAAAGCCACGGCUAACUACGUGCCAGCAGCCGCGGUAAUACGUAGGUGGCAAGCGUUGUCCGGAAUUAUUGGGCGUAAAGCGCGCGCAGGCGGUUUCUUAAGUCUGAUGUGAAAGCCCCCGGCUCAACCGGGGAGGGUCAUUGGAAACUGGGGAACUUGAGUGCAGAAGAGGAGAGUGGAAUUCCACGUGUAGCGGUGAAAUGCGUAGAGAUGUGGAGGAACACCAGUGGCGAAGGCGACUCUCUGGUCUGUAACUGACGCUGAGGCGCGAAAGCGUGGGGAGCGAACAGGAUUAGAUACCCUGGUAGUCCACGCCGUAAACGAUGAGUGCUAAGUGUUAGAGGGUUUCCGCCCUUUAGUGCUGCAGCAAACGCAUUAAGCACUCUGCCUGGGCAGUACGUGUCAAAGAUU